rnacentral:rRNA from 1 species
AUUGAACGCUGGCGGCAUGCCUUACACAUGCAAGUCGAACGAGUGGCGGACGGGUGAGUAAUGUAUGGGAACCUGCCUGAUGGAGGGGGAUAACUACUGGAAACGGUAGCUAAUACCGCAUACCAUCGGAUGUGCCCAUAUGGGAUUAGCUAGUAGGUGGGGUAAUGGCUCACCUAGGCGACGAUCCCUAGCUGGUCUGAGAGGAUGACCAGCCACACUGGAACUGAGACACGGUCCAGACUCCUACGGGAGGCAGCAGUGGGGAAUAUUGCACAAUGGGCGCAAGCCUGAGGCAGCCAUGCCGCGUGUAUGAAGAAGGCCUUCGGGUUGUAAAGUACUUUCAGCGGGGAGGCGUUACCCGCAGAAGAAGCACCGGCUAACUCCGUGCCAGCAGCCGCGGUAAUUC